rnacentral:snRNA from 1 species
AAAUUGGAACGAUACAGAGAAGAUUAGCAUGGCCCUACGUAACGAUGACACACAGAAAUGUUGGACAAUUUAUAUUCCC